rnacentral:lncRNA from 1 species
GCACCGAUGCACGACUCUUAGAGCAUUUCAAAGAAGUCGUAUCGUAACGCACUAUUCUCCAAAUAAUACAAUGCAACUGGAAUACACAGUUAUAUCUCAUAUUGUUUUUUUUUUUUUAUAUCAGAGCUGACCACGCCAAACACGGAACGAGAAAUACAAAUGGACAUCAACAGUAACUUUCUUCUUGAGCAGGGCAGUAGGUUUCCGGCGAGAUUUAUGCGGCUUCGUCGGUUGAUCAUCGUCUGCAAAAAAAGGACAAAAAAACCAUUCAAAUUAAGGCGGGAAUUUUGAAUCCGGGCAAUUGGUUGAUUCUUUCGAGCGAAAUGAGCGCUAACAUUUGGGCUUCGGCGCGACUCAACGACACGAGGGAGGCGGAUCCCACCUGAGCUCGGCACUGCCAUUCGGUAUUGCGCCACGCACAGUCGCCCUAAAACGAAAAGGUCCCCUGAUCAAAUAAACUAUAUAGAAUAACCAAGAUGAUUUAUA